AAUCAUCCAUUUUCCUGAUUUUCAAUGCUGCUCACAAGUUAACUCAAGAGAUCUCUUGAUCAUUAGACUUAUCAUGAUAUCGUUUCUAAUUCUCGUCUCCAUUUUUAAUUAUCAUCUUUUUACGUUUUUCCGUUGGUCUCAUCGCUAUCUUUAUCUUUCUGUCUCUCUCCUCUCUUUGCUAGCUCUCUUCAUGGAUUUCAUUUGGUAAUCAGGAUCUAAACCAGAUAAUGUACAAUCUCGAAGUUGAUCAAAGUUUUUUUUCUCCAAGAGACAAGACAUUAACAAGACCUGAUUUCAUAUACUUGAAAAGCGAAGCUGGUUCUCUCCGGUUAUUUUGGUUUAUUGUCAAGUGAAUUUGCGAUUGUGUCAUUUUCAUUAUAACGAUCAUUUUUCAAGCAAUAAUCAAGACUCAACACGUUUUAUUUGGUAAAACCUUUUUGUAUUUUAUUGUAAACGGAAAAAGAUUAAUCACUUGGUUGCCAUUACAAUCUAAUGCUUUGUGAUUUAUUGAAUAGGAAGAGAGUUGCAAUCUCAAUGACAUUUAUUAGCUGAAUCACAAAUAGCCAUUAGCUGUUUGACUGUUGGUGUUGGAUGAUAUUUUUUCUCACAUUCAUUUUCAAUAUUAUCAAAAUUGCCACCAAUUUGAGGAAAUUGCUUACAGUUGGUCAGUUUUAAGGAAAAGAAGCGACAGUUAUCAAACCCUUCAUCGCCUUAUCGUUUACAUGAUGAUGUUUCUGACAAUUUCAUAGCUUUUUUCCCGGAAACAUGAACUGGCUCAACUUUAAGCAAAUUGGUCAGCUUACUAAUACAUAUGAGCUAAAUAUGAACAGCUUUAUUAUUGCUUUUGAAAUUGAUUCAUUCACUUUUUUAUCAAAAGUUUUGAAUUGUUAGCAAUUUUUUUAUACCCAUUCAAGAGUUUUAAGUAUCAACAUUAUUCAUUUGCUUAAGGCUUUCAAUACUUUUAAUUUGUUCCAUUAUAAUAGUAAUAAUCAAAUUAAUUUGAAUCGAUUUUCUUGCAUUCAGAUGAUUCUGAUAUAUUUUACAGGCCAGAUUUGUUUCAAUUCAUUUGAUUAGGAAGUGACAUUUGAUUGAUUAGGUUUAUUUUUUUGCUAUAUCUUGGAUUAUCAGGUUAAAUUGAUUAAUAGAUGAUGAAAAUGAGAAGCAAAAGAAAUCUUAAAUUAAUAGUUAUCAUUACAGGAAAACGAAAAUUCAAACUGGAUAUAAAUAACAAUUAUUAUGCUUGCAUUUUAUUCAAUAUAAAUUGCCUGAUAAAUGCCACCUUGAAUUCAUAUUGAUUUGUUUCGUUGAAAUGAUCGCUCAAAUCGUUUCAACUUAAAAUCAAUAGCUGGUUGACAAUGAAAGCAAAAAGUCACUGAGAUUGCAAUUAGAUACAGUUUGUGGAUUGACCAUUGUGAAUGAAUGCUGAAGCCUGGUUGAGGAACCAAGUACAAAUUUGGAUAAACCAGUCAACUCUUAUCAAGCAAAGUGGAAAGCUAUAAAAAUCUGAAUUAAGGUGUAAUCCAUAUUUGGUUAACCAGUUUAACCACGAUGAAAGAUAUUGAUGCUUUAAAGAUGAGGAUGGUAAAUGAUAAUGCGAUAGAAUCCAAUUUGGUUGAACAAUUGGAUUAUCAUGUAUUAUCAUACUAGAACAGGAUUUUUUGAUGAAAAUGGUUGUAUUGUUGUGGUUAAACUGAUAUGGUUAAGCUCUACUUGAUUGUUGUGCAUUAGCUGAUGUGUGAUAACAAUUGUAUCUUAUACACACUGUUGGUAUGAUUACACAAAAAAUUAUCGUAACAGCAA